GAGUCUAGAAUGGAUCCUUUUAUUUUGCUAUAUAGGAUACCACUAAAGUUGGCCGUAAAAAGGCGGCCUCACCGCAAAGUAGUCGUAUUUCCAAGAUGUCUGUCAAGUCUGUCAAAGAAUGCUGAAUGGAACGAAUGUUUCUCGACGGUCCAGAAUGGGCUAAAGACUAAAUAAAAUUAUAAGAGUGAAGCGAAUUGUCGUCAAUUGAAUUGGAACUAAAAACUGUUGCGAAAAUUCAGAUUGUUGAGCAAGGCGUUCAUGCCAGAAGGUUUACAUCCAAUAUUGCCCAGGAGGACAGUAAUUAGAACAAUUUAUUUAAGUUUGUGUGGACACAGAGGCUUGAAUGUAGAAAUCAAAGAGUGGACAUGCGUAUAAAAUAUCGCCAACAGACCAUGGACGGAUAAAGAGAAAAAUCUACUAUUGUGAUUGAAAGUUGAAAAUAAACAGCAAAUAAACUUCAAAUAGAAAUUUAAACAUACAAGAAGUAGGACCUUGACCAUGCCUCAACAACAUCAGGAUCAAGAAGUCAAACAUGCAAUAUUAAUUCACAUGCUUGUAGCUAAUAGCACACGAGCAUUAGCAAGUGAAGGAGAGAAACAAUAACUAAUGACCAUAAAAUUCUAUAUUGAUACUUAUCAAAUUGGAUCCAUUCUGAACAACUCCAAGAGUCUAGCCAGCUCUAUUGAUACUUAAAAAUUGGAUCCAAUCUGGAAAUUGUAAGAGUCUAGCCAGCUCUAUUGAUACUAACCAAAAUUGGAUCCAUUCUGGAGACUUUCAAGUGUGUAGCCAGCUCUAUUGAUAUUGACCAAAACUCGAUCCAUUCUGGACAUUUGCAAGAGUGUAUCCAGUCCUGUUGAAAUUGACUGAGUUUUGAUCCAUUCUGGACAUUUUCAAGAGUGAAGCCAGCUCUAUUGUUACUUACUAAAAUUGGAUCAAUUGUGGACACUUUCAAGACUCUAGCUAGCUCUAUUGAUACUUACCAAAAUUUGAUCCAUUCGGGACAAUUUUAAGAGUCAAGCCAGCUGUAUUGGUACUCACCAAAAUUGGAUCCAUUCUUGACAACUUCAAGACUCUAACUAGCUCUCUUGAUACUUACCAAAAUUUGAUCUAUUCUAUACAAAUUCAAGAGUCUAGCCAGCUCUAUUGAUACUUACCAAAAUUGGAUCCAUUCUGGACAAUUUCAAGAGUCUAGCAAGCUCUAUUGAUACUUACAGAAAAUGGAUCCAAUCUAGACAAUUUCAAGAGUCAAGCCAGCUCUCUUGAUACUUACCAAAUUGGAUCCACUCUGGACAAUUUCAAGAGUCUAGCCAGCUCUAUUGAUAAUUUCCAAAAUUGGAUCCAUUCUUAACAAUUUCAAGAGUCUAGCCAGCUCUAUUGAUACUUACCAAAAUAUAAUCCAUUUUGGACAAUUUCAAGAGUAUAGCCAGCUCUAUUGAUAUUGACCAAAAUUGGAUCCAUUCUGGACAAUUUCAAGAGUCUAGCCAGCUCUAUUGAUACUGACCGAAACUGGAUCAAUUCUGGAAAUUUGCAAGAGUGUAUCCAGUCCUGUUGAAAUUGACCGAAUUUGGAUCCAUUCUGGACAUUUUCAAGAGUGUACCCAGCACUAUUGUUACUUGCCAAAAUUGGAUCCAUUAUAUACAAUUUCAAGAGUCUAGCGUGCACUAUUGAUCCAAUCUGGACAUUUUCAAGCGUUUAGUCAGCCUUGUUGAUACUGACCGAAUUCGGAUUCAUUCUGUAAAUUGUCAAAAUAUUUUUGAUUGAUCAUAUAAUGUCCCUGGGAUGAAAAUAAGCCACACCUUUUUGCUUUUUAUUAAAGGGGCCUUUUCAGGUUUUGGUAAAUUGUCAAAAUUGUUUCAGAUUUUUAUGUCCCCCACCACUAUAGUGGUUUAUAAAAUUAUAAAUCGUUGCAAUGCAAAACGAUUGAAUAAUAUGGAAAGUUCUGUUGUCGUUGUUAUAUUUUGUGAAACUACGAGAAUUGCUUAUAUAAAGUAUAAAAUACCGUCCACAUUGUAUGACCACAAAUGACCGAGUGGUCAAAGCAGUAGACUUUUACUCCAGUACUCCAGUUGUCAGAGGUUCUAUCCCUGUUGAGGGUUCAACCAAGAUUUGAUUUUCAAUUUGUGUCUAGUUAUACACUGGGGACCAUGGCGUUUUCCUUAUAUGCAUGUUAUAAAAAUUAUUAUUAUCCUAGACCUAAACAACAAAGAUAAGGAGCCUGCAAUUGAGGUUGCAUCUGAAUAUUGUAUGGUAUUUGUUUGAACGACACAGGCCCUCUGGGACCUAUUUAAAAAAACAUUCUUGAUCCAUUUUUCAUCUUUAACAACUUUUAUAAUUUUUCUCAGUACAUACUCCGGUUUGACUUGAAACAUACAGACUAGUGAAAAUAAUAAGUACUGCCAUAAUUACCAUGGAAAUGUGUUGUUGUUUUUUGGUUAAAGGCCAAUGUGCAGACUUACUACUAAAUGAUGAAACAAUGAUGUAAUGUUACUGUUUUAAAUUUUAGAAAGUAUGUGUUUUUAUAUUCUUAGCAUUUUUAUUUAUUUUUCAUGUAAAAUAUACACUUUUGAAAAAUGGUGUUUUAUAACUGUUAAGUUAAAUACACAGGUAUUUCAGUUUGGUUAUGUAGCGGGGUUUGUGUAUUGACACAAGGGGUUAUAGUUGCCAACUUUUAUUAAGCCCCCCUUUGAAGAAGAGGGGGUAUAUUGUUUUGCACAUGUCGGUCCGUUGGUUCGUCCACCAGAUGGUUUCCGGAUGAGAACACUUAGGCCUAGGAUCAUGAAACUUCAUAGGAACAUUGAUCAUGACUGGCAGAUGACCCAUAUUGAUUUUCAGGUCACUAAGUCAAAGGUCAUGGGCACAGUGACUCGAAAUAGUAAAAUGGUUUUCGGAUGAUAACUCAAGAAUGCUUACGCCUAGGAUCAUGAAACUUCAUAUGUACAUUGAUCAUGACUGGCAAAUGACCCUUUCGAUUUUCAGGUCACUCGGUCAAAGGUCAAGGUCACAGUGACUCGAAACAGUAAAAUGGUUUCCGGAUGAUAACUCAAGAAUGCUUUCGCCUAGUUUUAAUUAUAUAAUUGAUAAUGGUAUGAAAUAUAAUAACAUAAAGUAUUAUAAGUAUUAUCAUAAAUUAUAAAUCAGAUAAUUGAUAAAUACAAUAUCAUUCAAAUAAUAUAAUGAUUACAAUUUUAACAAGUAUACAAGUAAAUACACUUAAAAUAAUAAAAUAACUCACCAGUAACCAUAUGAAGAAAGAAACUAAAGAUAGUAGGUUUAAGCAAAUGAAAAAUGCUUGUACCUCUUGCAAGGUUUAGUAACGAAAUUAAUCAAAUGUUUCAGAUAUAUAAAACCAUAAAUUGUAUCUGAAAUCAGCUCACCUAAAAAGCAUUCUCCAUUAUUAAUAUACGGAAGCUCACUCAUUCAUCACACUGAAUCUCUCUUGAUUGGAUAAGUAGUUAUAAUUAUUUAUAUAACUGGUGUUUUGUUUUGUUUUCAUUGUGUUUCCUUUUUGCUGUUUGCUUUCUCUGAGAAAUUUGCAUCUUGAUUUUUUAGCUCAUCUAUUUUUUGAAAAAAAAAUUAUGAGCUAUUGUCAUCACCUUGGCAUCGGCGUCGGCGUCAGGUUAAGUUUUGCGUUUAGGUCCACUUUUCUCAGAGAGUAUCAAUGCUAUUGCAUUCAAACUUGGUACACUUACUUACUAUCAUGAGGGGACUGGGCAGGCAAAGUAAGAUAACUCUGGCGUGCAUUUUGACUGAAUUAUGUGCCCUUUUUAUACUUAGAAAAUUGAAAAUUUUGGUUAAGUUUUGUGUUUAGGUCCAUUUUAUUCCUUAAGUAUCAAAGCUAUUGCUUUCAUACUUGAAACACUUACUAUCAUAAGGGUACUGUGCAGGCAAAGUAAUGUAACUCUGACUGGCAUUUUGACAGAAUUAUGUGCCCUUUUUA